rnacentral:lncRNA from 1 species
UUUGACUUAGGAGAGAAAUGAGCUCAGCUGAUCCACCAUCUGUUACUAGGUUGGGAAUUGGAAAACACCGGACUUGGAUCACCGUCUUCAAUUGGAACAAGCAUACAUUGGAAGACUUUCUAAGACCUUUUGCUCAAGGGCAAACCUUAUUCUCAGAUUGGAUCAAGUUGAGAAGCCCAUGAAGUAUUGUCACCAAGCAUACAGGAGGAAAAAACAGGUCUAAUUUUAUGCAUGUGGUAUUCUAUUUAAUUACAAGAAUUACAUUAAGAACAACUGCUAAUCAUCUGCUUCAGCUAAUUUCAAAGAAAAAAUGUCUAAUAGUACUUUUACAUUUUCUAAUUAGACCCAGAAUCCGUAGCCAGCAUGAUGAGUUCAGAGACCUGGCCCCUACCCUGGGAGUAGCACAUUCAGUCAGAGAGGUUUAGGUGGAUUCAUCCAAAUACUUUAAUCCCAGAGCUCUGUCCUACAAAAACCAACAGGCUUGCUCAACUGUAGCAGUCAACAAGAAUUCAUGGUGCUUGGUUGGACUGCAUACAUAUUAUCUUUUUCCUUUAGAAAGCUGUGAAUUCCUUGGCUGUUUUAUUUUUGAAAUAAAUGUGUCAAUUCCAUUUUUCUGCCAUUUCUGCUACUUCUUUUCUCUAUAGAAACCUGGAUUUGUUACUGAGCUUUAGGUAUAAAACAGGUUUAUUAAGCUUAAUUGUUUUACUAUUACCAUAGUAACCAUUGUAUUUCCGUCACAGUAACUCUGAACUGUAAGCCAGUAAGCCAUUGGUCCUGAUGGUAAAGAUAGAAACCCACCUCCCUGCACCUCAGAUUCUACACCUCAGAGAAUUUCCAGGCUCUAAUUCCUUCAAUUAUGCCCCUUCUUUCUAGCAUUUUAAGUGCCCCUCUCUGAUUUUUUUUCAAACUCACACCAUGGUGGUCUUGAUUCAACAAUGAAGUCACAGUAGGCAUUGCAGUGGUUAUUUUAUGAAUCCACACAAUUUACAGAUUGCUCCUGAUAAAGCUCUAAAGAGUUUUCACAAUGUGUUUAUUCUGAAAACUACUCUCUACAUAGCCCAGUAUUUUUCCAAUACAAAUAAAUUUUAACCAACAUUACAACAACAAAAAAUUUUGAUGUGCAUUGAAAUAGCUAGUCAAAUUGGCCUCACAGUAGCAAUAAAAUAAUCUGAGAUAAUAGUUUUGUUUGAUUUUUUAUUUCAUGCAUAAUUUAUUUACGAGUAAGCAACAUAUAUUUUACAUUGUUCCUCAUGUCAUUGUAUGUUUUAAUACUGUGAAGUUUACUCUGAACUCUUUGGAUCCCAAUCUUAAAUCUAAUCAAAUCAAAAUAAAUAUAUAGAACAGCUCAAUAUAUGACACAUAGUAGGCACUUAAUAAAUAGUACCUAUUUUAUUAACAUGAUUAUUUCCUUUUUAAUAUUAUUAUGUGAAUAUAUUCUAGAUAGAAACUUUUAGAAUCUUAUUACCAAUUAUAUGUGUUAAGUCAAGUUUAGCCUAAAGAUGCCUCCUUCCAUAUUUUAAGUUCAACCUAAAAGUUUCUCUGUACAUUGUGAACUAUAACCUACACAGAGGUGUAAACAGACUGUAGUCUACUCUUGUGCCAAUCAAUCACUGAGCUUUGGUUCAUCAAAGGUGGUCAAUGUUCAAAUCAUGUUCAAAUAAGGCAAAUGCCGAGCUGUAAACAAUAUGGCUGUUUCUGUACCUCACAUCCACUUUCUGUAUCACUUUCCUUUUUCUGUCCAUAAAUCUUCUUCCCCCA